GACGAACCGUGCGAACGUUGUUCGGAAUCACUGGGCUUAAAGGGCGCGUAGGCGGGGCUUCAAGUUUGGGGUGAAAUCCUCCGGCUCAACCGGAGAACUGCCUCGAAUACUGAAGGUCUCGAGGGGGAUAGGGGCAUGCGGAACUACGGGUGGAGCGGUGAAAUGCGUUGAUAUCCGUAGGAACUCCGGUGGCGAAGGCGGCGUGCUGGAUCCCUUCUGACGCUGAGGCGCGAAAGCCAGGGGAGCAAACGGG
rnacentral:rRNA from 1 species